UACGUAGGGUGCGAGCGUUGUCCGGAAUUACUGGGCGUAAAGAGCUCGUAGGUGGUUUGUCGCGUUGUUCGUGAAAACUCACAACUCAAUUGUGGGCGUGCGGGCGAUACGGGGCAGACUGGAGUACUGCAGGGGGAGACUGGAAUUCCUGGUGUAGCGGUGGAAUGCGCAGAUAUCAGGAGGAACACCGGUGGCGAAGGCGGGUCUCUGGGCAGUAACUGACGCUGAGGAGCGAAAAGCGUGGGGAGCGAACAGG
rnacentral:rRNA from 1 species